AUACUUACCCGGCACAGGAUUUAAUGUUGACCAUAAAGGACGUUCUCCCGGGGCGAGGCCUUUCCACUGCACUUCGGUUGGGCUGACACUUGCGAUUACCCCAAAUGUGGGUGACUCGGUUUCAGCAUUGUAGUGGGGUGACUGCGUAUGCGCUAUACCCUU